AACGAACGCUGGCGGCAUGCCUAACACAUGCAAGUCGAACGGACCCUUCGGGGUUAGUGGCGCACGGGUGCGUAACGACUGGGAAGUUGCCCUUUGCUUCGCAAUAACUCAGGGAAACAUGUGCUAAUACCGGUUGAUGUCUUCGCACCAAAGAUUUUUCGGCAAGGGAUGAGCCCGCGUAGGUUUGGGUGGUUGGGGGUGUAAAGGCCUGCCAAGCCGACGAUCCUUAGCUGGUGUGUGAGGAGGACCAGCCGCACUGGGACUGAGACACGGCCCACACUCCUACGGAACGGAGGGGUGGGGAACAUAGUACACUGGGCGCAGGUCUGGUCCAGCAGUGCCGGGGAAGUGGUGAAGGCCCUCGGGUCGUAAAUCUCUUUUAGCAGGGAUGAGAAUGACAGUAACUGGUGAAGAAGCACCGGCUAACUCCGUG
rnacentral:rRNA from 1 species